GACGAACCGGACAAACGUUAUUCGGAAUUACUGGGCUUAAAGGGUUUGUAGGCGGCCCCGUAAGUGAGAUGUGAAAUCCCUCGGCUCAACCGAGGAAGUGCAUUUCAUACUGCGGGGCUUGAGGGAGACAGAGGUAAGCGGAACUGAUGGUGGAGCGGUGAAAUGCGUUGAUAUCAUCAGGAACACCGGUGGCGAAAGCGGCUUACUGGGUCUCUUCUGACGCUGAUAAACGAAAGCUAGGGGAGCGAACGGG
rnacentral:rRNA from 1 species